rnacentral:sRNA from 1 species
CACCGCCUGGGGAGUACGACCGCAAGGUUAAAACUCAAAUGAAUUGACGGGGACCCGCACAAGUAGUGGAGCAUGUGGUUUAAUUCGAAGAUACGCGCAGAACCUUACCAACACUUGACAUGUUCGUCGCGACUUUAAGAGAUUAAAGUUUUCGGUUCGGCCGGACGAAACACAGGUGCUGCAUGGCUGUCGUCAGCUCGUGUCGUGAGAUGUUGGGUUAAGUCCCGCAACGAGCGCAACCCUCACUUUUAGUUGCCAUCAUUUAGUUGGGCACUCUGAAAGAACUGCCAGUGAUAAGCUGGAGGAAGGUGGGGAUGACGUCAAGUCCUCAUGGCCCUUACGUGUUGGGCUACACACGUGCUACAAUGGUAUCUACAACAGGAAGCAAAACUGCGAAGUUAAGCAAAUCCUUAAAAGAUACCUCAGUUCGGAUUGCACUCUGCAACUCGAGUGCAUGAAGCUGGAAUUACUAGUAAUCGUGGAUCAGCGUGCCACGGUGAAUGCGUUCCCGGGUCUUGUACACACCGCCCGUCACACCAUGGGAGUUGGUUCUACCUUAAGGCAAGGUUUUAAACCCUUGACCACGGUAUAGUCAGCGACUGGGGUGAAGUCGUAACAAGGUAGCCGUAGGGGAACCUGCGGCUGGAUUACCUCCUUUCUAAGGAUGAAUGAAAUUUAAAUUUCAUUCUAAAUAAUAUACAGGUAAUGUUGACCGUCCUCAUUUCUCUUCUUAAUUUAGUGUUUCUCUUGCAUGGGGGCCGGUAGCUCAGUUGGUUAGAGCACACCCUUGAUAAGGGUGGGGUCGAAAGUUCGAGUCUUUCUCGGCCCACCAAUUAAAGAUCAUGGGGGAUUAGCUCAGCUGGGAGAGCGCCUGAUUUGCAUUCAGGAGGUCAGCGGUUCGAUCCCGCUAUCCUCCACCAAAAACACUUAGUUAUAAAAAAUCGUAAAUAGAAUUAAUAAUUAAUAUCAAUAUCUAUAUCCGAACAUUAGUAAUGUUAUUAGCUAAUGUUCAAAAUAAAAAUUUGAUUCAACACAGAAUUUUUUUCUG